rnacentral:rRNA from 1 species
UACGUAGGCAGCAAGCGUUGUUCGGAGUUACUGGGCGUAAAGGGUGCGUAGGCGGCUUUUUAAGUUUGGUGUGAAAUCUCCCGGCUCAACUGGGAGGGUGCGCCGAAUACUGAGAGGCUAGAGUGCGGGAGAGGAAAGUGGAAUUCCUGGUGUAGCGGUGAAAUGCGUAGAUAUCAGGAGGAACACCGGUGGUGUAAACGGCCUUCUGGACCGUAACUGACGCUGAGGCACGAAAGCGUGGGUAGCAAACAGG